UACGGGGGGGGGCUAGCGUUGUUCGGAAUUACUGGGCGUAAAGGGCGCGUAGGCGGUCUGCUAAGUUGGAUGUGAAAGCCCUGGGCUCAACCUAGGAAGUGCAUUCGAAACUGCGGGGCUGGAGUCCUGGAGAGGAAGGCGGAAUUCUCGGUGUAGAGGUGAAAUUCGUAGAUAUCGAGAGGAACACCGGUGGCGAAGGCGGCCUUCUGGACAGUGACUGACGCUGAGACGCGAAAGCGUGGGGAGCGAACAGG
rnacentral:rRNA from 1 species